rnacentral:rRNA from 1 species
UACGGAGGGUGCAAGCGUUAUCCGGAUUCACUGGGUUUAAAGGGAGCGUAGGUGGCUUUGUAAGUCAGUGGUGAAAUAUUGCGGCUCAACCGCAAAACUGCCAUUGAUACAGCAAGUCUUGAGUUCGAGAGAGGUGGGUGGAAUUCCUAGUGUAGAGGUGAAAUUCGUAGAUAUUAGGAAGAACACCGGUGGCGAAGGCGGCCCACUGGCUCGAUACUGACGCUGAGGUGCGAAAGCGUGGGGAGCAAACAGG